AUUUGAUUUUGUCCUCUGACAGCAGGCUGGUCCUCGCCUGCUCUCCAACCGCCCCCGCGAAAUGUAAUCUUUUUAGGUUAAAGGCCACGGGAAAGUGAUUGGAGCAGGCUUUCAUCAGACCCCAGAAAGCUGGGUUUGGAAGGAGCUCCCUCGGUCACCACAAGCUACAGGAGGGUGGACAUCGAGGGCUGGUUGUGAAGGAGUGUCUUCCAUGAGGAGACCCCUAGGCCACCCCAGACCCCCUCCCAGCCCUUCUCCACCACAGCUGCUCCCUGACGGCCAGCCCAUCAUCCAAGGAAAACAGCCCAGGCAGUGGAAAAUUACAGUUUUCCAAUAAGAGAGACCAACUGCAGCUUUGUAGUUUUCAUUUCAGAAUGAGUACACAUGUCAUGUCAGAAGAGAAACCCUGGCAGGAUCUAGAAGUCACCCGAUGCCAGUGAGAGGAGGCAGCAUUCUCAUCUGCAAAGAUGGAGAAGGGAAGAGAGAUGCUUGCUGCACUCAGGGAGCUGGUACCCAGGCUCCUGGUGCACCUGUUGCUCACAUCCCCUGGAAACAGCAAAGACUCCACACUGAGGUUCCCAUGGGAAGAAAAAAGCCUUCCCCUGCUUCCUCUCAGGAAGAAAGGGAUGCAGGAAAGCAACUCUAUUUGGGCUCCAGUUCUUCCUUGAAACCUCCUGAGCAGAAGGGGAAAUCAGACAGAAUCAACCCCAAAGGCGAUCUCCUGUCUUUUUGAAAUUGCUUCCAGCUAAGCUGUGAAGAAUGUGGGAGACAAAAAGCAUCUCACUCUCCCAUUUAAGAGAAUCAAAAGUCCCAAUAUUGA
ensembl:lncRNA novel transcript